rnacentral:siRNA from 1 species
UUACCAAAAUCUCUCGCCUA